CCUACGGGAGACAGCAGUGGGGAAUAUUGGGCAAUGGACGCAAGUCUGACCCAGCAACGCCGCGUGAAGGAAGAAGGCUUGCGGGUUGUAAACUUCUGUUAAGGGGGAAGAGCAGAAGACGGGACCACUGGAAUAAGCCACGGCUAACUAAGGGCCAGCAGCAGCGGGAAUACGGAGGUGGCAAGCGUUGUACGGAUUUAAUGGGUGUCACGGGCGUGCAGCCGGAGAGACAAGUCAGAUGUGACAUCCGCAGGCUCAACCGCGGAACUGCUUUGGCAACUGUCUCGCUUGAGUACUGGAGAGGCCGGCGAAAUUCCUAGUGUAGCGGUGAAAUGCGUAGAUAUUAGGAGGAACACCAGUGGCGAAGGCGGCCUGCUGGACUGCACCUGCCGUUGAGGCUCG
rnacentral:rRNA from 1 species